GGUGGUUAAGAGCUUGGCUGCUAACCAAAAGAUUGGUGGUUCAAAUCUACCAGCCACUU
rnacentral:tRNA from 1 species